GUCAACCCCGCACACCUCAAAGUGGACUCACCGAUCGUCAACCCCGCACACCUCGAAGUGGACUGGCCCAUCUUCAACCCCACAUACCUCGAAGUGGACCCACCUGUCGUCAACCCCGCACACCUUGAAGUGGACUCACCCGUCGUCAACCCUGCACACCUCGAAGAGAACGUAUUGUUAUCAACCCUGCAUAUCUCCUUUAUUUCUGCUUCUUAUUGCUCCACAUAUUGCUCUCAAGGAGGGUGGAACCACGUUUCUCCAGGUCACAGAUGUUCGUGGGAACUGAAAGAUUAUACCCAAAACCCCAAAUCUGAGGGAGCACCAGCGUGGUGGGGGAGCUCUCUGUAGGAUGGCAGGAUACAGAAAAGACUGGGAGAGGGUGUCCACCGUGGCCACUGUACCCUCCAUUUGCAUUUCAAAUACGCGCGACACCCGUCCGCCCAACGCUCCACCGGGAAACGGCUGCUGAGAAGUGAGCAAAACGUAAGAGGAUACGGCAUCAAAGAGCCCAGCGGAGAAAGCGGAAGGACUGCACAGCGUGGGGGGGGGGGGGUGGAGAUAUGCGGGGUUGGAGUCCCUUGCCUGGCUUCUGUAGAGGGAGUUUGUUGCUCAUUACCAGGCUGAGGGCUGUCUGUGAUACAGGUACACAGACUCAAGACUAGACCUCUAGUGCAGGUAGAGUGGGGACAGUUCAGAGAUG